AACGAACGCUGGCGGCAGGCUUAACACAUGCAAGUCGAACGCAUACCUUCGGGCAUGAGUGGCAGACGGGGUAGUAACGCGUUGGAACCUACCCCUUUGUCCUGGAUAGCACCGGGAAACUGGAGAUAAUACCGUAUGUGUCCUGAGGGACAAAGCUUCAUCGCCAAGGGAUGGGCCCGCGUCGGAUUGGCUAGUUGGUAGGGUAACGGCCUACCAAGGCGACGAUCCGUAGCUGGUCUAAGAGGAUGAUCAGCCACAUUGGGACUGAGACACGGCCCAAACUCCUACGGGAGGCAGCAGUGGAGAAUAUUGUACAAUGGGCGCUAGCCUGAUCCAGCCAUGCCGCGUGAGUCAUGAAGCCCCUAGGAUUGUAAAGCUCUUUCACCGGUGACGAUAAUGACGGUAACCGGAGAAGAAGCCCCGGCUAACUUCGUG
rnacentral:rRNA from 1 species